AUCGGUGGUGUCCACCUCUUCCCAUUCCGAACAGAGAAGUUAAGCCCACCAGAGCCGAUGGUACUGCGGUAACACGUGGGAGAGUAGGUCGGUGCCAAAU
rnacentral:rRNA from 2 species